GAUCAUGGCUCAGGACGAACGCUGGCGGCGUGCCUAACACAUGCAAGUCGAACGGAACUGUUUUGAAAGGUUUCUUCGGAAUGAAUUUGAUUUAGUUUAGUGGCGGACGGGUGAGUAACGCGUGAGUAACCUGCCUUCAAGAGGGGGAUAACAUUCUGAGAAGAAUGCUAAUACCGCAUGAUAUAUCGGAACCACAUGGUUUUGAUAUCAAAGAUUUUAUCGCUUGAAGAUGGACUCGCGUCCGA
rnacentral:rRNA from 1 species